ACGAACGCUGGCGGCAUGCCUAAUACAUGCAAGUAGAACGCUGAAGAGAGGAGCUUGCUCUUCUUGGAUGAGUUGCGAACGGGUGAGUAACGCGUAGGUAACCUGCCUUGUAGCGGGGGAUAACUAUUGGAAACGAUAGCUAAUACCGCAUAACAAUGGAUGACACAUGUCAUUUAUUUGAAAGGGGCAAUUGCUCCACUACAAGAUGGACCUGCGUUGUAUUAGCUAGUAGGUGAGGUAAUGGCUCACCUAGGCGACGAUACAUAGCCGACCUGAGAGGGUGAUCGGCCACACUGGGACUGAGACACGGCCCAGACUCCUACGGGAGGCAGCAGUAGGGAAUCUUCGGCAAUGGGGGCAACCCUGACCGAGCAACGCCGCGUGAGUGAAGAAGGUUUUCGGAUCGUAAAGCUCUGUUGUAAGUCAAGAACGGGUGUGAGAGUGGAAAGUUCACACUGUGACGGUAGCUUACCAGAAAGGGACGGCUAACUACGUGCCAGCAGCCGCGGUAAUACGUAGGUCCCGAGCGUUGUCCGGAUUUAUUGGGCGUAAAGCGAGCGCAGGCGGUUUGAUAAGUCUGAAGUUAAAGGCUGUGGCUCAACCAUAGUUCGCUUUGGAAACUGUCAAACUUGAGUGCAGAAGGGGAGAGUGGAAUUCCAUGUGUAGCGGUGAAAUGCGUAGAUAUAUGGAGGAACACCGGUGGCGAAAGCGGCUCUCUGGUCUGUAACUGACGCUGAGGCUCGAAAGCGUGGGGAGCGAACAGGAUUAGAUACCCUGGUAGUCCACGCCGUAAACGAUGAGUGCUAGGUGUUGGAUCCUUUCCGGGAUUCAGUGCCGCAGCUAACGCAUUAAGCACUCCGCCUGGGGAGUACGACCGCAAGGUUGAAACUCAAAGGAAUUGACGGGGGCCCGCACAAGCGGUGGAGCAUGUGGUUUAAUUCGAAGCAACGCGAAGAACCUUACCAGGUCUUGACAUCCCGAUGCUAUUUCUAGAGAUAGAAAGUUACUUCGGUACAUCGGUGACAGGUGGUGCAUGGUUGUCGUCAGCUCGUGUCGUGAGAUGUUGGGUUAAGUCCCGCAACGAGCGCAACCCCUAUUGUUAGUUGCCAUCAUUCAGUUGGGCACUCUAGCGAGACUGCCGGUAAUAAACCGGAGGAAGGUGGGGAUGACGUCAAAUCAUCAUGCCCCUUAUGACCUGGGCUACACACGUGCUACAAUGGUUGGUACAACGAGUUGCGAGUCGGUGACGGCGAGCUAAUCUCUUAAAGCCAAUCUCAGUUCGGAUUGUAGGCUGCAACUCGCCUACAUGAAGUCGGAAUCGCUAGUAAUCGCGGAUCAGCACGCCGCGGUGAAUACGUUCCCGGGCCUUGUACACACCGCCCGUCACACCACGAGAGUUUGUAACACCCGAAGUCGGUGAGGUAACCUUUUGGAGCCAGCCGCCUAAGGUGGGACAGAUGAUUGGGGUG
rnacentral:rRNA from 1 species